GGAGGGAUCAUUGAAUCUAUCAAUACCAACACUGUGAACCGUGAUUGUCACCCUCAGAGCUAUACCAAAUUCUGCAGUUUUGCCCAUGAGCCAGCUUGGGGCAUGCUGCAGGAGGCUUUGAUGCAAUCGCACCUUGUGUGCACUCCUGCAAAGGACUGUCCAUAAGAGUGGUUGGGGGUAUGCAGCCGUUCUGGCUCCUUUGUAAUAAUAAUUUUAUUACUAUUAUGGGGAGGGUUGUACUGCCCUGGUGUUUUAAAUUAACCAACCCAGCACCAAAUUAAUUAUCAGUUGACUUUGAGGCCCAGUCGGCACAGCUGCUGGACCACAUAAAUCAAAGACAACUCUCAACAACGGAUAUCUUGGCUCUCGCAACGAUGAAGAACGCAGGCGAAAUGCGAUACGUAGUGUGAAUUGCAGAAUUCCGUGAAUCAUCGAAUCUUUGAACGCAUAUUGCGCUCGAGGCCUCGGCCGAGAGCAUGUCUGCCUCAGCGUCGGGUUAUCCUCUCCACUCCCACUCAUUAUUUUUAUAAUGGAUGGCAUGUGGUGGAUCUGAUCAUUUCAACAAGGGAAGCAUUUGCUUCUUUGCUGGAUGAUUGAAGCGAGGAAGCGUGUGCAAGGACCCAUGCAUUUAAUUAUGUGUGGGAUGCCACAAUUGGGUAGGCUACUGUGUUGAUGUGCUUGUCACAUUAACAUAUGCUGUUCUAAUUGUUGGUUGUGCCUUGUGUGCUGCUGAAAAAGAUGUGGAAAACAUCAUCAUAACCAUCUCGACCUGAGCUCAGGCAAGAACACCCGCUGAACUUAAGCAUAUCAAUAAGCGGAGGAAAAGAAACUAACCAGGAUUCCCUUAGUAACGGCGAGUGAACCGGGAAUAGCCCAACUUGAAAAUCUCCUUUUUGGAGAAUUGUAGUCUAGAGAAACGCCCUCUGUGGCGGCCGGAGCCCAAGUCCUCUGGAAAGGGGCGUCAGAGAGGGUGAGAACCCGUCGGCUCUCGGAUCCGCUGCUCCACGAGGUGUUUUCCACGAGUCGGGUUGUUUGAGAAUGCAGCCCAAAAUGGGAGGUAAAUCCCUUCUAAGGCUAAAUACUGGCGAGAGACCGAUAGCGAACAAGUACCGUGAGGGAAGAUGAAAAGAACUUUGAAAAGAGAGUUAAACAGUGCUUGAAAUUGUUGAGAGGGAAGCGAUUGGGGGCUGCGGGUGCGCCUAGGCUUAUGUGUCUCUAACGAGCCGCUGUAUGUGCUAGGUGCUGGUCAGCAUGGGUCCGGCUUGCGGGAUAACAGCGGGGAUUGCUACCUCGUCUAUGCCGCCGGCCUGACCAAGGCGUGAACGUCGCUCUGUCCUUCGGGAACUGGCGUCGUCAAGAUGCUGGCAGAAGGCCUUCAAUCGGCCCGUCUUGAAACACGGACCAAGGAGUCUAACAUGUAUGCGAGUUGGUGGGUGGAAAACCCAUGAAGCGAAAGUAACCUGACUGGUGGGAUGGCCUGUGCCUGCACCAUCGACCGACCAUGAGCUUCUGCAAAAGGUUUGAGUGCGAGCAUACCUGUUGGGACCCGAAAGAUGGUGAACUAUGCCUGAGCAGGGUGAAGCCAGAGGAAACUCUGGUGGAGGCUCGUAGAUGUGCUGACGUGCAAAUCGCUUUUCGGACUUGGGUAUAGGGGCGAAAGACUAAUCGAACCAUCUAGUAGCUGGUUCCCUC
rnacentral:misc_RNA from 1 species